rnacentral:rRNA from 1 species
GGGCGACCGGUCAAGGCUCUAAUUUACUUGAUGUUGAUAUUCCACGUGGAUAACUGUGGUAAUUCUAGAGUUAAUACAUGCACCAAAGCUCCGAUCUCAUGACGAGCGCAUCUAUUAGACCAAAAACCAAUCGAGAAUAUUCGCCUCAAAACGAAUGCCUCGUAAAUUUGGUGACUCUGAAUAGCUUACCUGAUCGCAUGGUCUCGCACCGGCGACGUAUCUUUCAAGUGUCUGCCUUAUCAACUUUCGAUGGUAGUUUAUAUGCCUACCAUGGUUGUAACGGGUAACGGAGAAUAAGGGUUCGACUCCGGAGAGGGAGCCUGAGAAACGGCUACCACAUCCAAGGAAGGCAGCAGGCGCGCAAAUUACCCACUCUCAGCACGAGGAGGUAGUGACGAAAAAUAACGAGACCGUUCUCUUCGAGGCCGGUUAUCGGAAUGAGUACAAUUUAAAGCCGUUAACGAGGAUCUAUGAGAGGGCAAGUCUGGUGCCAGCAGCCGCGGUAAUUCCAGCUCUCAAAGUGUAUAUCGUCAUUGCUGCGGUUAAAAAGCUCGUAGUUGGAUUUAAGCUCGAUGACUCGGUCCAUCCAUAGGAUGAGAACUGAGCUCAUCGGCUAUCAUCGGCUGGUUUUGUCUAGGUGGCUUUAAACGGUUGCCUAGGCUGGCUAGCAAGUUUACUUUGAAAAAAUUAGAGUGCUCAACGCGGGGCUUAAUGCCUGAAUAGUCGUGCAUGGAAUAAUGGAAUAGGAUUUCGGUACUUAUUUUGUUGGUUUUUUUAACCGAACUUAUGGUAAGAGGGACCGAACGGGGGGCGUCCGUAUCCGCUACUGAGAAAGUUGAACUUCAUGGAACGGUAGCGAAGACCCCCCGACCUGGCUCACCGCUAUUAGCCAAGAUGCGCUCCAAUAUCACGAGACACAAAAGUCCAAAGUUCGAAUGGGCCAUAAAGUAUCCGGCCAUACUUCUAACGCGUUAAACACAUCCCACUUAGCGUUCUUCUGUGUCUGCAAUAGACCAUUGGCCGGCCCGCUCCGGAACCUAUUGAGUUCCGUUCCUGGACACCUGAUACACGCUUAAACUAUACUACUCACAGAUGUGACCCAGGCGCACUAGGUCUACUUGACUUAUGACAACUGA